ensembl:lncRNA
AGUGGAGCACUGUUGAGGGCGUCACAGACAACGUCCAUUGUCGGUGUGGGCAGGGAAGGCGUUUAAGCCGUCUUUGCCGAGGACCGCGGAACGUUCUUUCGUUCUUGUCUUAACGGCAGGAAUUACAGAAAUUAUGAUCUGAUCUGAUCUGAUUUUAAAAUUGAAAGAGGAUAGUAUGAGAAUAUUAUUCUUUCGCCGCGUUUCUUUCCCCUUGUUGCGUUUUUGCGCCUUCUCAAGAACGUAUUGCGACAUAGUGUGCCAAAUUGGGUUCAAACCGGAACCAACCGGUGUCUUGGGUACGAGGUGAAAUGUGCAAAAGGGUGUGAGUUACACAAGGUCGGAGAGCGGACAGGCAGAUUUUUAGAAGUUUAUUUCAUUGUUUUGUGACAUACCCACGACAUAUGUUCAAGGUUCAGCGAAUACUUGAAUAAUAGGUUGGUACAACAGGCUCUGCCUCUUAUGCAGGGUUGUUCUGAGAACUGCUCCUAUUCAGAUAAUUUGUAAAUUGAAAAACCUUUUUUUUGGUUACGCGAGGAAGACUUUUUUCUCCUAGCCUGUUUACUCAUUAAAUAUUUACUGAGGCUAACUUUGUACCAAGCUCUGUACUAGGGAUACAUACAAAUAAAAGAUAACAUUGUACCGUUGUUUUGGCAAAACAAAGGUACUAUGGCGUUUACUCUGCUGGAGACGAAAAAUUGACAAAAUAUUUGUUAGUGAUAAGUACUAAGAAGUACCAGGUUCCCUGGUAGCUCAGACGGUAAAGCGUCUGCCAACAAUGCGGGAGACCAGGGUUCGAUACCUGGGUCCGAUCCCUGGGCCAGGAAGAUCCCCUGGAGAAGGAAAUGGCAACGCACUCCAGUACUCUUGCCUGGAAAAUCCCAUGGACUGAGGAGCCUGGUAGGCUACAGUCCAUAGGGUCGCAAAGAGUUGGACACGACCGAGCAACUUCACUAAGAAGAAAAAGCUGCGUGAAACACUAGAGGGGCGGUAUUUCGAUAAAGCCCCAUGGACUGUAGCCUGCCAGGCUCCUCUGUCCAUGGAAUUUUCCAGGCAAGACUAUUGGAGCGGGUUUCUGGUCAUCUGUUGAUGGAGGCGUCCAUACUUUGGCAAUUAUCCAGUCCAGAACACCACAUUGCGUUGGAUUGCCAUGCCGCUUCAGUAUUUUCUUAUCUGGGAUUGUUUUGCAGACUUUGUCUUUCCUGACCUUUGCACCUUCACACGUCUGCAAUGUGCUGAUCGGGUGUUUUGUAGCUGUCC